rnacentral:rRNA from 1 species
UUGAAGAGUUUGAUCAUGGCUCAGAUUGAACGCUGGCGGCAGGCCUAACACAUGCAAGUCGAACGGUAACAGGAAGCAGCUUGCUGCUUUGCUGACGAGUGGCGGACGGGUGAGUAAUGUCUGGGAAACUGCCUGAUGGAGGGGGAUAACUACUGGAAACGGUAGCUAAUACCGCAUAACGUCGCAAGACCAAAGAGGGGGACCUUCGGGCCUCUUGCCAUCGGAUGUGCCCAGAUGGGAUUAGCUAGUAGGUGGGGUAACGGCUCACCUAGGCGACGAUCCCUAGCUGGUCUGAGAGGAUGACCAGCCACACUGGAACUGAGACACGGUCCAGACUCCUACGGGAGGCAGCAGUGGGGAAUAUUGCACAAUGGGCGCAAGCCUGAUGCAGCCAUGCCGCGUGUAUGAAGAAGGCCUUCGGGUUGUAAAGUACUUUCAGCGGGGAGGAAGGGAGUAAAGUUAAUACCUUUGCUCAUUGACGUUACCCGCAGAAGAAGCACCGGCUAACUCCGUGCCAGCAGCCGCGGUAAUACGGAGGGUGCAAGCGUUAAUCGGAAUUACUGGGCGUAAAGCGCACGCAGGCGGUUUGUUAAGUCAGAUGUGAAAUCCCCGGGCUCAACCUGGGAACUGCAUCUGAUACUGGCAAGCUUGAGUCUCGUAGAGGGGGGUAGAAUUCCAGGUGUAGCGGUGAAAUGCGUAGAGAUCUGGAGGAAUACCGGUGGCGAAGGCGGCCCCCUGGACGAAGACUGACGCUCAGGUGCGAAAGCGUGGGGAGCAAACAGGAUUAGAUACCCUGGUAGUCCACGCCGUAAACGAUGUCGACUUGGAGGUUGUGCCCUUGAGGCGUGGCUUCCGGAGCUAACGUGUUAAGUCGACCGCCUGGGGAGUACGGCCGCAAGGUUAAAACUCAAAUGAAUUGACGGGGGCCCGCACAAGCGGUGGAGCAUGUGGUUUAAUUCGAUGCAACGCGAAGAACCUUACCUGGUCUUGACAUCCACGGAAGUUUUCAGAGAUGAGAAUGUGCCUUCGGGAACCGUGAGACAGGUGCUGCAUGGCUGUCGUCAGCUCGUGUUGUGAAAUGUUGGGUUAAGUCCCGCAACGAGCGCAACCCUUAUCCUUUGUUGCCAGCGGUCCGGCCGGGAACUCAAAGGAGACUGCCAGUGAUAAACUGGAGGAAGGUGGGGAUGACGUCAAGUCAUCAUGGCCCUUACGACCAGGGCUACACACGUGCUACAAUGGCGCAUACAAAGAGAAGCGACCUCGCGAGAGCAAGCGGACCUCAUAAAGUGCGUCGUAGUCCGGAUUGGAGUCUGCAACUCGACUCCAUGAAGUCGGAAUCGCUAGUAAUCGUGGAUCAGAAUGCCACGGUGAAUACGUUCCCGGGCCUUGUACACACCGCCCGUCACACCAUGGGAGUGGGUUGCAAAGAAGUAGGUAGCUUAACCUUCGGGAGGGCGCUUACCACUUUGUGAUUCAUGACUGGGGUGAAGUCGUAACAAGGUAACCGUAGGGGAACCUGCGGUUGGAUCACCUCCUU